AAAAUAUUUAAUAAAAUUGGGAAACGCAUCGUUGUUAUACCACGGCGAACACCGCAUCUUUAUCUCUCUCCCGUAACUACUCUUUCACACCCCCACAUCCUCCUCCAUCUUCAAUCGGCCGAUCGCUCUGGAACGUUGCCGCUCUAUCUCCGCCGUAACCGCCAAUUAGCUUAACCUCCCGUUGCCGCUCUAUCUUCGCUGUCACCGCCGAUUAGCUUAACCUACCGAUUAGAUCAGAAUUCAAAGAAGAGGAGUGGUGUUGGAAACAUCAGACAGAAGGCGGCAAAGGUUACAUCUUCAUCUUCUUCGUGUGUAUGUAUGUUUAGAAGGAAUUGGGUGUCAGUUGUGCCGUUAUUAGCGCUUCCUAAAGGCGAACGACGAGUGGUUAUUCAAGACAAUAAAACGAUAUUGUUGUCUAUCUAAAAAGUGUUAUAGCAUUAUGUGGGACAUUCAAGGAGAUCUUAAUGGAUCAAAGCAAACGUUCAGGAAUUGAGACAAAAAGAUGUUAGAUGAGAAGGAGCACUUAGUAUGGGAGAAGGAGCGCUUAGUACGAGAGAGGAAUUGGGAUCUCCUUGAAGUCGAUCCAAACUAUCGAAAUUGUUGUUUGUAAUGGUAAAGAUGGAUAUAUUUAUCUUAAGGACUGUCUCGUAUCCCAGUCAGCUUCAUGUCUAAAAUCACUGUUUUUUUUUUUGUUUUUUGUUAAUGAUUUUGCCUCAAUGUAUACUCGAAUUAAUGGCUUAGAUUAUUGGCUAGACACAAAGUUAUCA